GGGAGGGGGAGGACAGUGCUCCGUUUCUUGGAUCCACUUGGUUUUUCUGGAAUAUAAUUAUACUGACUGUGAGCUGAAUUAAAAUGUCAUAUAGAAUCCCCCAUCAGCUGAAACCCCUUUAGAGACAAAAUUAGGGCUUGUGAUUGACAGACCAUUCCAAUGAUUCACAUUUAACUAAGUCGAAGACAACAAGUUUCAUUGCCACUGGAGGGCUCAGGAAUUGAGUUCGAGUAUGGAAAGUGUUGGCUGGCUGCUCAUUCAGACACACAAGUCACACACAUCCCUUUGUCCACAUGGAUGGACACAGAGAGGUCAAGUCAGCGAAACGCUCAGGCAUCGAGAUCGAGGGAGAAGANGUAAACUCACUCACCGAGAUGUACACACAUGGAACUGCAAAUAUACGCCAAGUAAAAAUGACUCCGGGAUGUAAAUGGGGCCAAUCCGGGGAAGCCCCGGGUCAGAUCAUCAUGAAUUAAAGCUCAAUAGCUCAAUACCAAGGGACAAUCUGGAAGCAGAUUUCCUACCCUGGUGUUUGCCAGCUCCUGUUAGUUUCUCAGAGCUGAGUGGUAUUUCUAGGUUGUCGAUUUCUGACGGUCGUUAAUGGAUCGCCAGCGCUGCAACCUGAGAUUUUUUUCAGGUUUCGUGACAUUCCCACUGUGACUGUCCACCAGUCAGUGCUCAUUUCAUAGAUAAGUAUUGAAUGACCACUGUUCAUGAGGUGCAGGGCAGGUCACUGGAGCAGAGGUUUGCAAAAUAGACCCUUCUCUCCCCAUGAGCUCACAGCCAAACAGUGGAGCUAGAAAAUAAUCCACUAAGCGUCAACGGUGUACGCUCUGAAUUCCAAUAUCGAUUUUGGCAAAAGCAGCAACUCUCUCUGCUGCUGGCAGGAAGUGUUUGGUGGCAAAACAAAAACUGAGCUUAGCAUGCGUGAAAGCGAGCCAUUAUGGAGUGUUCAACAGUGCUCGAGAUGUUCCCAAAUAAAACGCUUCUUCCAGAAGCGUUUCAUUUUAGAGCACAUUUAAGUGGUUUCUUCUUCUAGUUGGGAAAAACUUUUGAGAAAAACAUGAAGAGUGUGGUGUAGUAUGUUUGUGUUAUUUGGUAUAUGUUUAUGUG
rnacentral:lncRNA from 1 species